rnacentral:rRNA from 1 species
UACCAGCACCCCGAGUGGUCGGGACGAUUAUUGGGCCUAAAGCAUCCGUAGCCGGUUCUACAAGUCUUCCGUUAAAUCCACCUGCUUAACAGAUGGGCUGCGGAAGAUACUAUAGAGCUAGGAGGCGGGAGAGGCAAGCGGUACUCGAUGGGUAGGGGUAAAAUCCGUUGAUCCAUUGAAGACCACCAGUGGCGAAGGCGGCUUGCCAGAACGCGCUCGACGGUGAGGGAUGAAAGCUGGGGGAGCAAACCGGG